rnacentral:rRNA from 1 species
UAGGGAAUCUUCCACAAUGGACGCAAGUCUGAUGGAGCAACGCCGCGUGAGUGAAGAAGGUUUUCGGACCGUAAAGCUCUGUUGUUGGUGAAGAAGGAUAGAGGUAGUAACUGGCCUUUAUUUGACGGUAAUCAACCAGAAAGUCACGGCUAACUACGUGCCAGCAGCCGCGGUAAUACGUAGGUGGCAAGCGUUGUCCGGAUUUAUUGGGCGUAAAGCGAGCGCAGGCGGAAGAAUAAGUCUGAUGUGAAAGCCCUCGGCUUAACCGAGGAGUUGCAUCGGAAACUGUUUUUCUUGAGUGCAGAAGAGGAGAGUAGAACUCCAUGUGUAGCGGUGGAAUGCGUAGAUAUAUGGAAGAAUACCAGUGGCGAAGGCGGCUCUCUGGUCUGCAACUGACGCUGAGGCUCGAAAGCAUGGGUAGCGAACAGGAUUAGAUACCCUGGUAGUCCAUGCCGUAAACGAUGAGUGCUAAGUGUUGGGAGGCUUCCGCCUCUCAGUGCUGCAGCUAACGCAUUAAGCACUCCGCCUGGGGGAGUACGACCGCAAGGUUGAAAC